AUACGUAGGGGGCAAGCGUUAUCCGGAUUCAUUGGGCGUAAAGCGCGCGUAGGCGGCUUGUUAAGUCAGAUGUGAAAACCGGGGGCUCAACCCGCGGCCUGCAUCUGAAACUGACAGGCUUGAGUCUGGUAGAGGAAAGUGGAAUUCCUGGUGUAGCGGUGAAAUGCGCAGAUAUCAGGAGGAACACCAGUGGCGAAGGCGGCUUUCUGGGCCACGACUGACGCUGAGGCGCGAAAGCUAGGGGAGCGAACAGGAUUAGAUACCCUGGUAGUCCUAGCCGUAAACGAUGGGCACUAGGUGUGGGGGGUCAUCGACUCCCUCCGUGCCGAAGCUAACGCAUUAAGUGCCCCGCCUGGGGAGUACGGCCGCAAGGCUAAA
rnacentral:rRNA from 1 species